AUUGAACGCUGGCGGCAGGCCUAACACAUGCAAGUCGAACGGUAACAUUUCUAGCUUGCUAGAAGAUGACGAGUGGCGGACGGGUGAGUAAUGCUUGGGAACUUGCCUUUGCGAGGGGGAUAACAGUUGGAAACGACUGCUAAUACCGCAUAAUGUCUUCGGACCAAACGGGGCUUCGGCUCCGGCGCAAAGAGAGGCCCAAGUGAGAUUAGCUAGUUGGUAAGGUAACGGCUUACCAAGGCGACGAUCUCUAGCUGUUCUGAGAGGAAGAUCAGCCACACUGG
rnacentral:rRNA from 1 species